UACUAUUUUUGAAAAUCAUAAAUAUAAUCGAACAUUCCGAGUGAUGGCCGAACCGAAUCUUAUCUAUGAGGAUACCUACUCCUCCAGCUCCACUACUUCGGAAGACUCUGAGUAUUUUAUGGCUGAGGGGUGCUCUCAAAAAGAACAUGAUGAAUCUUCCACAUCCACUGAUUUGAGUUCUUAUAAUGAUCCUUCGGAGGGGUCCAUAAAAGACGAUGGGGCAGCAGACGCCAGGCCAGGAUGUGGAUCAUUCGAUUUUAAAAAUGGCCAAUUAGGCUUCUGGUGCGUUAUUUGCUAAUCUGUACGCUGCGAAAUAAAAACAUGCCCAUUCCACAUUCCUUUAAGACGACCAAAGGAAUUUUUAAAUAUAAAUUUUUGUGUGGG